rnacentral:rRNA from 12 species
AUAACGGUCCUAAGGUAGCGAAAUUCCUUGUCGGGUAAGUUCCGACCUGCACGAAUGGCGUAACGACUUCCCCGCUGUCUCCAACAUCGACUCAGCGAAAUUGAAUUGCCUGUCAAGAUGCAGGCUUCCCGCGGUUAGACGGAAAGACCCCGUGCACCUUUACUACAGCUUCGCACUGGCAUCAGGAUUGUGAUGUGCAGGAUAGGUGGUAGGCUUUGAAGCAGGAACGCCAGUUUCUGUGGAGCCUCCCUUGAGAUACCACCCUUCGCACUCUUGAUGUCUAACCGCGGUCCGUUAUCCGGAUCCGGGACCCUGCGUGGCGGGUAGUUUGACUGGGGCGGUCGCCUCCCAAAGAGUAACGGAGGCGCGCGAAGGUUGGCUCAGAGCGGUCGGAAAUCGCUCGUUGAGUGCAAUGGCAGAAGCCAGCCUGACUG